AUUGAACGCUGGCGGCAUGCCUUACACAUGCAAGUCGAACGGUAACGCGGGGCAACCUGGCGACGAGUGGCGAACGGGUGAGUAAUAUAUCGGAACGUGCCCAGUCGUGGGGGAUAACUGCUCGAAAGAGCAGCUAAUACCGCAUACGACCUGAGGGUGAAAGCGGGGGAUCUUCGGACCUCGCGCGAUUGGAGCGGCCGAUAUCAGAUUAGGUAGUUGGUGGGGUAAAGGCCUACCAAGCCGACGAUCUGUAGCUGGUCUGAGAGGACGACCAGCCACACUGGGACUGAGACACGGCCCAGACUCCUACGGGAGGCAGCAGUGGGGAAUUUUGGACAAUGGGGGCAACCCUGAUCCAGCCAUGCCGCGUGCGGGAAGAAGGCCUUCGGGUUGUAAACCGCUUUUGUCAGGGAAGAAAUCCUUUGGGCUAAUAACUCGGAGGGAUGACGGUACCUGAAGAAUAAGCACCGGCUAACUACGUGCCAGCCGCCGCCGUAAUAC
rnacentral:rRNA from 1 species